CAGCAGAGAGCUUAGGUGUUUUGAUAGGGAGAGAAAUUACUGAUUACCAACAGGAAGAGCCCUUAGCAAAAGCACCCUCUUCAGCUCUGUAUAAACCUCUAGAACCUGGCAAAAUUGAUAAGAAGAGGCAAUCGAUCCCAGGUUCAAGUGCAAACAAGACCCCAACAGAAACAGAGGAGCUGCCUGUGAAAAUAAUCCUUCAUGUUAGAAUCAAACAUGUACCAAUUGCUCCAAACUUGGUGUCUCAUUUACAAGUCAUGUCCAUAAAAACAGAACGUCCUGAGGAACUGCAAGAAGCAUUUGUUGCUCAAACAGGGGAUGGCCUAAGAGACCCAAGAGCAUUGCUGGCUGAGAAGUGUCUUGAAAGUGAAAGUGUGAGAUCUGAGGCACAGAGAAAAGAAGACAGUCAUUUCUCUCUGGGUAGCACAGGACAACCAGUUGUAAGACCAGGGGAGGCCUUCAGCAAGACCUCACUUGGGAAGGUGCUGAAGCCUGUGCUAAACAUUCUGAAAGCUCUUCAACCCAAGGUGGACCUCCUUGCAAACAACUGGCAGCCCACUACACUAAGAAUGAAGAGGGAGAGGAGAAGGUGAAGGAAAAGCUUGUAGCAGAGCAACAGUAGGAAGAAGAAGAGGAGCUGCAGCACAUAGAGGAUACCAUUCAAGUUGAAUCCUCUCUGUAUUUGGGGAGCCCAUUGGUUUCAUUCAUGGACAGUGAACAAUUAAGUGAGAAUGCUGAAGAGCUAUCACCAGCAUUGGAAGCACAGAGAGCAGCUGAAUGUCUGAGAUUUGCACUUUUGGGGGAUUCUAUUUAUUUCCCUUUAUGUCUUUAUAAUUGUCUGUAAUUUCUUUAAUUCUUCCAUUCCUUUAAUCUCAGUGAUCAUGUGGAGGAUGAAAGACUAUCUGGACUAGAAUACUUAUGCUACCAGUGUCGGGGAUUUCUCCAGAACAGACUUUUCUGGCAAAGACAGUCAUGUUUUAGAGGGAAGCUUUUCAUACCUUCCACAUGGUUUUCAUUCUGUCUGGUUCCAUUGUGCUGUCCUAACAGCAAUCUGCACAUAGAGGAUGCAAUAUGAAAGAGCUGGUUCUUCAAUAAAGAAAUUACAGACAAUUAUAAAGACACGAAGGGAAAUAAAUAGAACCCCCCAAAUGAAGACAUUACUGGGGGUAGAUUGGUAUUUGCCUCCCCAUACUAGAAUCUGUGAGGAAGAGGAUUCAGGCUGGCUAAUGUGUAAUAAGCCCCCUGCCCCCCCAAACCACUGCCAGCCUCAAAGCAGCAACCCUCUACCCCAGUCCACAUACCCCCCUGCCCUGCUCAUCCUCCCCUCCACCCCCCGUCAGCUACCUUUUUGGAUAACAAGCAGGGCACUCUACAGAGACAUCACCUGGGCCUGAGGCACAGCAGGUCACUUAAUAAAGAUUUCUCUUCCUUGCAGAUUAGAAGCAAUGAGUUCUCUCAAAUGCCUUUCUCAGGCUGAGCUCGAGGCCAAGCCAUAUGGUCAGAAAUCUAUCACUAGCACUUAAACCUCUUCAAAAGGGGCUUUCUCACCUCAGAGUAGGAUCAUAGAAAAGUAGGGCUGGAAGGGACUUCACCAGUCCCUUCGCAAGUAAGAGAAAUUCAGUAAGAAAAGGCCAUCAGGCUAUUUCAAAGAUCUAUGGUACAUGGAUCAGAGCCACUGCACAGAGAUUAACUUCAGCUUGGCAUUUGCAACCCACCCCAAGCAAUUCGUCAAACAGUUCAACUGCCUUGGUGUUACAUCCUCCCACUGCUCCCAUAGCUCCAAUUCCUCUGACACAGGUGACAAGCCAACAGCCAUUUAAGCCAUCACUAGUCCUUCAGAUGUGAUCUCCAGUGAUUUAACUAUCCUCUACUUAUUGUUUCCCUUGCCUUUCACGGCCAGAAAACCAGAAACUGCGGCAUUGAUGCCUACAGUUAGAUGGGUGGCAAAUUGGCUCGAUGGUCACACCCAGAGAGUGGUGGUGGACGGGUCA